UACGAAGGGGGCUAGCGUUGCUCGGAAUUACUGGGCGUAAAGCGCACGUAGGCGGAUCUUUAAGUCAGGGGUGAAAUCCUGGAGCUCAACUCCAGAACUGCCUUUGAUACUGAGGACCUUGAGUUCGGGAGAGGUGAGUGGAACUGCGAGUGUAGAGGUGAAAUUCGUAGAUAUCGCAAGAACACCAGUGGCGAAGGCGGCUCACUGGCCCGAUACUGACGCUGAGGUGCGAAAGCGUGGGGAGCAAACAGG
rnacentral:rRNA from 1 species